GACGUAAUACUUUUUUAAUUUCACAUUUUACGCAUCUACAAAAAGAGAGUUAAAUAUUCCGGUAAGACUGACAGAGCAACCACAACUGCAAGGGGAUUAGGGUUUCAGAUCUCAGCAAAAAACUUGCCGGAAAAAUGGCGUUGAGGAACUUCUACAAGGAGAUAAAGGGAUUGAAGGUGAAGGAGGUUCCGGGGUACCUAAAGCCGAUGCUCUCAGUCGGUUACGCGAAGAAUGCUAUCAGGAAGGGUUUGGAUAACUACCAUGCUAAGUACAUCGAAACCAGCUCCGUUGAUCCUCUUCUCCAUGUAUGCUUCGGAGGCAUGAUAUUAUCCUAUCUCGUCGCCCUUCCAAAUGAGCGACGUCACCUCGAGCAUCAACAGCACGGCGGCGGACAUUGAUUGUCCCUCCGAUUUUCUAAGGUAAAAUGAAAAUUGAAGUGAGAUUUGAGAAUUGUGUGAGAACUAUGAUUGAUGAUACGGUGAAGGACAAACAUCUAUCUCUGUUGGUUGCUUUUACCCUCUUUUCAGUAAUUGGUGUACUCAGUGAGGCUCAGUUGUGCAAUACUUGGCUUAUUUAUUUGGUUUAAUAAAAUGUAGUCAAAUACUUCCUCUCUUUGCCUGUGGGCGGUAUAACGUGUGCCUUACCAAACAGAGGCUGAAUUUGCUUUUUAUGUGAAUCAACGUAUUUUGUUCUUCUCCCAUUUAA